rnacentral:misc_RNA from 1 species
AUUUUCUCUUCCGUGCGCUCAGACAACAGCUACGUCGGCGAAUACUACAGAUUUCUCAAUUAAAUUCUGUUCAUUCACAUUUAAGUUCGAAAAGAUAGCCCAAUCUGCCUGGUAAUUUCGAAUUGUCGGCGCUUUUGUGUGCAAAAGUGUGAAAAAGACGGAAAAUCCCAAAUAUAACAGCGGGGAAUCGAAACAGUACAGACCUACACUUGAACAUGUCUUCAGCGGCCAAUUCGCCUGCGACCAAUUCGAAUUCUGAUGACGAACAAAGCCGAUCGAAAUGGCAUUUACAACUAAAUGCGGACACACCUUCACCAAAUCCAAAUAUCCCGUUAUCUACACCCACCUCAUUGCAUUCCAGCGCCGGUGGAGUUAGUGGUGGAGCCUCAAAGCGCAAAAGUGCGUUUCUACCAUAUCGUCCACAUGCCACUGUGCUUACAAACUUGCAACGCGGCAAUACUGAAGCAACCUUUUGCCCAGUGGAAGUAGCAUUGUCAUUCCACGAACGUGCCGGUCAAGGUGAGAUCACCGAUGAUCAAGUGCGUAUAGAAUUCGAGCGUAAUGAUCGCAAUAUUGAUUUCAAAGAUGCUACUGGAUUUACUGCUCUACAUUGGGCAUCAUACUACGGUCAGCUAGCUGCAGUACGCUUACUUGUCGAUUCUGGUGCUGAUGUGAAUGUCGAAGCACCUGAAAUGGUAACACCACUUUUGCUUGCAGCAUGCGGUGGUCACAAUGAGGUGGUGCGUUUGUUGCUGGAACAUGGUGCUCGUCCUACACAUAUGGAUAUUGUCGGUAAUACGGCGUUAAUGUAUGCCGCUGCUGGAAAUCACCCACAUACCUGCAACGAAUUGUUAGCCAAAGAUCCGGAUAUGACGGCAACCAAUGAGAAUGGCGAUACCGCAUACUCUUUGGCUGUAGAAAAUGGAGCUGUUUUGGCACAAGCUGUGCUGGAGCAGUACUUGAGUGCGUUGUUGCUGCUUUAAAAUAAAGCUAUUCUGAAAAGGAACUGAUUAUGAACACGUCGGAAGUCGCUGCUGAUGGCGCUAAAUCACGCAAGCGAAGUUGAAAAAUGCUGUUUCGAAAGAAAAAGCGUUUAAAAUUUGUAAAAGGCUGUAACACAAAAACUAUUUGGAUACGGAUUUAAAAUUUUAUGUCACCAACAACAACAAUAACGCAACAUUCCUUUCGCUGAAGUGAGUCGAGCGCGCCGCUGAACAUAAUCGAAGGCCGUAAAAUCGAUGGCAUAAAGAAGGAAA